rnacentral:rRNA from 1 species
UACGUAGGGUCCGAGCGUUGUCCGGAAUUAUUGGGCGUAAAGGGCUCGUAGGCGGUUUGUCGCGUCGGGAGUGAAAACUCAGGGCUCAACCCUGAGCGUGCUUCCGAUACGGGCAGACUAGAGGUAUCCAGGGGAGAACGGAAUUCCUGGUGUAGCGGUGGAAUGCGCAGAUAUCAGGAGGAACACCGGUGGCGAAGGCGGUUCUCUGGGCAUUACCUGACGCUGAGGAGCGAAAGCAUGGGGAGCGAACAGG